GUCAGUGUGAUGUAGUGGUUUGAGCAUCAGACUAUGACUCUGAAGACCAGGGUUCAAACUCCUGCUCAACCA